UUACGUCCAUACCACGUUGAAACACCGGUUCUCGUACGAUCACCGAUGUAAAGCAACGUUGAGCCUGGUCAUCAACUAGAUGGGUGACCUAUUGGGAAUAUCAAGUGCUGUAAG